UCCCUUGAGAAAAAAUUGAAAAUUAAAAAAAUCUUGCUUGGAAAUUAUUAUGACUAUAAUAAUAUACUAUUAUUAUUAAUACUAUUAUAUAUUAUAUAUGCUAAUAUUAUUAAUUAUUGUAAUAUUUUUCAAAACACAUGCAAAGCUAGUUUUUAGCAUUCAAACUUAAAAAACCUGUGUUCCAAAUUUUUCACCUUCCCUUUCUCCUUCCUCCUCCCCUAGACAAUAAGUGAUCCAAUAUAGAUUAAAUGUGCAGUUUUUCUAAAUAUAUUGAAAAUCACUUUUUAACACAAUAGUUCUUUUUGUUUUUAUUGGGAAGAGACAAUAUAUGCAAUAUGCACAGACGCAAAUAUUUUACUUUCUAGAUGAAAGCAAAUAUAAAUUUUCUAGUCCAAAUUUUAGUUUGCCCUAAUUUAAAGCAGUUAAGCAUUCAGUGAGUGCCUACUAUAUGCAGACACUGUUGCUGGACAUUGGGGACACAAAGGCAAAAAUGAAAUAGUUCUCUUCUUUGGUUCUAUUGAGCAAAAUAACAUGCCUAUGUAAGCCUAUACAAACAUAGUUAAUUGUAGGGUGAGCACAAGACAGUAGCAGCUAGAUGGAUUAGGAAAGGCCUCCUGUUGGAGGUGGAGCUUGAGUUAAGCUUUGAUGGAGCUCGGGAUUCUAAGUAGAGGUGAUGGUAAGCAGCCUCUGCAAAUUCACGGAGGUAGAUGGAGUGUCAUGGAUGAAGAAUAUCAAAAAGGCUCCCACAGAGUGGGACACAGGAUGCAUGAAGUUUAGGAAGCUAGGGUAGGAACAGGUGUGUGAAAGCUGGAAGAGUUUGUAUAUGGUUCUGGAGGUCAUUGGAAGCCCCUGGCAUUUAUGAAUCAGUACGGAGACGUGGCCAGACUUGGGAUUUAGGAAAAUCACAUUGGUGUCUACAUGGAGGAACAUUUUCCUGGAAUGAAAAGAUUUGACGCGAUGAGACCAGUGAGGAGGCUUCUGCAGGAGUCCAGUGUCACUAAUCUGAUGGAUAGUAUGAGCAGCUACUACUACACCAGUAUAUAUAUAGUAACUAUAGCAUUGAUUUUGCUGAUGGGGGAAAAAAAAGAGAAAAGAAAGAAA